rnacentral:rRNA from 1 species
UACAGAGGUCCCAAGCGUUGUUCGGAUUCAUUGGGCGUAAAGGGUGCGUAGGCGGCGCGGUAAGUCGGGUGUGAAAUCUCGGGGCUUAACUCCGAAACUGCAUUCGAUACUGCCGUGCUUGAGGACUGGAGAGGAGACUGGAAUUUACGGUGUAGCGGUGAAAUGCGUAGAUAUCGUAAGGAAGACCAGUGGCGAAGGCGGGUCUCUGGACAAGUUCUGACGUGAGGACGAAGGCCAGGGAGCAAACGGG